AAAGAGUCAGGUCCCGCUGUACAAAGGAAAAGGAGCAGCGACGAGUUCAAAGAGAUAUGACAAUUUGGUGCUGAUUCGUUAUACAAGGCGUUGCUGAUAUGUUGAUUUAUAUCAGGGCUUACCCUAAAGCCGAAGCCCCUAACAACAGUUUCGUCCAAUUAGUGCAUAUUUUGAAAUUCAUUAACAUCAUAUGAUUGCUUGCCAUAAGUGUUCGUUGCGCUUGCACAAAUUUUGUAUUGUAAAUUAUAACAAGAAAAACUGUCUAUAAAAGUAACAUUAAUACGUAUGCUUGGACGUGGAGAUGGAUAAUUUACCUUCAGCAUAUGUGUUGGAAAACUUUUAAACCGUGUUGGAAUGCAUCUUUCUUAAGCUUUAUUAUUUUUCCAGCUCUGUCAAAACAACUCUUACUAAAAUGGUUCGAAGAAAGGCGAGAGUUGCUGCUCGGUAACCAAUCUUUUCUUCUGAUUUUCUCAACCCAUAUUUUUUUUGGCUCGGAUCGGCUGGGAAUUUGGACAAUCAAUAAUAAAUUGGAAUUUUCUUUUGUUCUUAUUUGUAAAACGUGAACAAUGGACGCUUACGUAGACGUCAUAAAUAAUUGUAGCUAUUUUUGUAUUUUUCUUGUUCCCCUUGUAACAGCUAUAGUUUACGAAAAUCACGUGGAUUAGUAAUCUAUAGAGAUAACUUUAUACCUGUGAAA